GACCUGCACCAAGGCCGCCAGCGCGAAGAAGGCGGCCAUGAGUCCGUUGCAGGCCCGCCACAGCGCUGGCGCCAUGGCUCGGAGAACACGGCGCGGGGCGGUGUGGUCAGCUACUCCGGAAUGUGGCAGGGGUGGAGGCCGGACAAAGUCUGAAACAGGGUCAUCACCAGUGAGUGGCUCCUGCCUGUGCUCUAUGUCCAGAGUGUGUGUGUGCUGGUGAUGCUCCCAAGGUGACAUAUUGGGAACAAGGAUUACAAGGAUCAGAAACUGCUGCCCAUGCCGUCUACCUCCCUCUGUCCAGCACACCAGAUCAGCAAAGGCCAAGCCAUGCUGUCUCCAGGCUCUGCUGAUUCCAUGUGAAUGAAGUGUUGGGGCAGGAAAGGGUUGGAACAGAACAGUGGAGGAAUUCUACUAGGAGCAGUGGACGAAUUCUACUAGGAGCUAGACAGCCUUCUGCUAAAAUAUUUGAAAUCAGAAAAGCACCUCGCCACGGCAAGGAUUGAUUUGCUUCUACAAAACCCAUCUAGUCUCUAUGAAGGACUUGGGUUUCUACUGUUAGCAAAAUAUAGCCCGUGUUAUGAAAGUCUUAAAGCUUACGCAUAUUGAUGGACAAUGAAAAACACUUGGCUUGAAUAAUGUUCCUCAAAUAUCCCCUUAUGCCACUGAAAGGAGAAUAUGGUUAAAUGAACCCUCUGCGUGUAUUUAUAUCCACCCUAUUCAUUGGCAUGAAACACUCAGUGAGCCAUUUAUUCUAUCCAUUUAUUCUGUCCAUUUAUUCAAGACUUCCUACGUGUCAGGCACUAUGCUAAUAACUGAGGAUGUGACUGUGACCUCACGGGACACGGUGUUUGCCCUUGUAGAGCUUACAGGCCAAACAAUAAUUACACGAAUAGGUAGGGGUUCCAGCCAACAAUGGUGGUGAUGCUGAGAAGGAGAAGUGAGGCUGCUAUGGGAAUGUGUGAAACCAGAGAAUCUGACCUCUUCCCAGGGGUUCCAGAAACCUCCUGAGGAGGUGAUUUUCAGGUGUGCCCUGAAAGAUGAAUGGGUGAGGACAGGUGAAGACUUUAUGGACCAGUGCUUAAAGCCGAGAGAGAAGUGCUUAUGAGAAGACCAAAUCCUGAAGGUCUUCAGGGCCUGGCAAAGAAUGAGAGUACAAGUAGACAUAGAUGAGGCUAGCACAAUGCAGGUAAAGAGUUUGGUUUUAUCCUGGCUGGGUGUGGUGGCUCACGCUUGUAAUCCCAGCACUUUGGGAGGCCGAGGCAGAUGGAUCAUCUGAGGUCAGGAGUUCAAGACCAGCCUGACCAACAUGGUGAAACCCCAUCUCUACUAAAAAUACAAAAUUAGCCAGGCACAGUGGCGCAUGCCUAUAGUCCCAGCUACUCAGGAGGCUGAGGCAGGAGAAUCACCUGAACCCAAGAGGCGGAGGUUGCAGUGAGCCGAGAUCACGCCAUUGCACUCCAGCCUGGGCAACAGAGUGAAACUCCAUCUCAAAAAAAAAAAAAAAAGUUUGGUUUUAUCCCAAGUGUGCUGAAGAGCCCCUGGAGCACUGAGUGGGGAGAGCAUGAUGGGAGGUGUGCUUGGGCUGCCCCGUGGAGGAGGAUGCACUGGGGAGAGCCCAGAGAAGAAGCAGAGACUGGCCAUGAGGUGCUUGCAGUAGGCCAGGAGAGAGAUGAUGCUGGCCAGGGCUAACAGGGUAGCAGUGGCCAUGGAGGGAAAGAAGCACGAAUGAGUGACAUUGGGGAGAUAAAGUCAAUCAGACUGUAUGCAGGGAAUAAAAAAAUGCCUCCACUCCUUAUGACAAAGUUAAGUUUUCAAGGCUGGGUGUGGUGGCUCACACCUGUAAUCCCAGUACUUUGGGUGGUCAAAGUGAGAGGAUCACUUGAGCCCAGGAGUUCAAGACAUCCUGGGCAACAGAGCAAGACUCCAUCUCUACAAAAAAAUUUUAAAAAAUUAGCUGGGUAUGGUGGCAUGUGCCUGUGGUCAUAGCUUCUUGGGAGGCUGAGGCGGGAGGAUUGCUUGAGUCCAGGAGCUCGAGGAUGCAGUGAGCUGUGAUUUGCACCACUGCAUUCCAGCCUGGGUGACAGAGCAAGACCCCAUUGAAAAAAAAAAAGGACUUUCAAAAUCAUACAUGGCAG
rnacentral:lncRNA from 1 species